AACCAAAUGGCCAGAAGGUCAAAUGAGCAUGAACAGCUACUAGCGGCACGUUUAUAAGGGACACCACAAAGUCAGCGAUGGCCAGGUGUAAUUGCUAAAAUGACUUUCACAAAGAAAAACAGCCAAACAAGCUCACCGGCUCGUUAAAGUUUCUUCUGUCCUGAACAUCCCACCACCCCUCAAACUGGCGCCGCUGUGACGAGACAUGAGGCAGGUUGGGGUAGUCUCCGAGUUCAAAGCCGUCUUGGGGCCAGCUUGUGUCCUUGGCGGUCCUAUUAUCCAUCGUUGGAGAUGCUAGAGGGGGGUUGCUUUGUGCAUUGUGGUAUGCUGCCACUGCAGUGUCAAAUCACAUAAGUAAGGGUUUUGGAAUACAUUGUCUCAUGUCUACAAACAUGGUUAGCAGAUCGAAGCGUGAGGGUGCAGCUGACAAAACCAGUGAUCAAGUUGUUAUUUUUCAAUAAAAGAACUACAUUCUACAAACAUGAUGGGGCAAAUACUGUGUGCCUUACACUAAAAACUUUGUACAAACUAAUUCGUUCUUCGACAAAGGCGAGAAGAAUUACAAUUUCAGUACCCUUUCUUGCUAUAACGAGUCGAUCGACUUCAUCAAAUAAAAGCUAUAGUCAUCCUUCUA